rnacentral:rRNA from 1 species
AAACAACUCUCAGCAACGGAUAUCUUGGCUCUUGCAACGAUGAAGAACGCAGCGAAAUGCGAUACGUAGUGUGAAUUGCAGAAUUCCGCGAAUCAUCGAGUCUUUGAACGCAAGUUGCGCCCGAGGCUUGUCCGAGGGCAUUUCCGCUAGAGGGUCAC